rnacentral:lncRNA from 1 species
UUAGGGAUUUAGGGAUAAUUGAGGGUUACCGGCGUGGUGCAGUGGUGGUGCAGCGGUGGAGCAGUGGUGCGGUGGUGCGGUAGUGCGGUAGUGCGGCAGUGGUCGAUUCUCUUCCCCCCUACUCCCUCUUCUCACUCGUCUGUGUAACUCUCUCUUUUUUUUUCUUCUGUGAUACUGAUGUCGCGAGCCUGAGACUGAUUUAUUUUAGUUGAUCAGCGACUGCUUUCUGCGACCGCGUGCGGUCGCAGAAAUUUAAUAAUGUGGACAUAUCAGCGACUGCAUGCGGUCGCUGAUUUUAAGUGGUCGCACAAAACCUUGGCGCCAACAUUUCCUACCAAAAAUUAGGAGGCAAAAUUAUGGUAGCGACCGAUCAGCGACCGCAUGCGGUCGCAGAGAGUGGUAUUAGCGACUGGGUUAAUACGGUCGCAGAUAGUGGUCGCAGAUAGUAGUAUUAGCGACUGCAUAUGCGGUCGCUGAUAUUAUUGGUCGCUGUUAGGCCUGUUUCUUGUAGUGAU